GUCCAGGCACUGAGACAAAGUGCAGAAACUUCAUUUGUGGUUUUCCUGCUUAGAACAGUUAUACAGGAUUGGCUAUGCUACAUCCUCCACUCUUGGGAAAAGGGAGGCCUGCUGUACUGUCCAUGGCUGCACUCCUUGCUGGCAAGAAAGGCCUUGAGAAGAGCUGACUGAGUUGCUCACAGAGUGGAAAGAUGGACGCAACUGAGUGUGGCAAAAGUGGAGGAAUUUCUGAGCCAAGUCACAUCAAAGAAUGUUUGAGGAUGAUUUAGCAUUUGGAACACUUCAAAAAGUGUGACACGAGCUGUUCUUUUUAC